rnacentral:rRNA from 1 species
UACGAGGGGGGCGAGCGUUGUUCGGAAUUAUUGGGCGUAAAGGGUGCGUAGGUGGCGCUGUAAGUCGGGUGUGAAAUUUCGGAGCUUAACUCCGAAACUGCAUUCGAUACUGCGGUGCUUGAGGACUGGAGAGGAGACUGGAAUUCAUGGUGUAGCAGUGAAAUGCGUAGAGAUCAUGAGGAAGACCAGUGGCGAAGGCGGGUCUCUGGACAGUUCCUGACACUGAGGCACGAAGGCCAGGGGAGCAAACGGG